rnacentral:sRNA from 1 species
GCGGUUGAUUCGUCCCGCUGGCGGAAGGUGUGGUCAUAGGGCAGAGAACUGAGCAGAAAAGAGCUGGUCAGAGUGGCGAAGC